UUGAAGGUUGGGUAACACUAACUGGAGGACCGAACCGACUAAUGUUGAAAAAUUAGCGGAUGACCUGUGGCUGGGGGUGAAAGGCCAAUCAAACCGGGAGAUAGCUGGUUCUCCCCGAAAGCUAUUUAGGUAGCGCCUCGUGAAUUCAUCUCCGGGGGUAGAGCACUGUUUCGGCUAGGGGGCCAUCCCGGCUUACCAACCCGAUGCAAACUGCGAAUACCGGAGAAUGUUAUCACGGGAGACACACGGCGGGUGCUAACGUCCGUCGUGAAGAGGGAAACAACCCAGACCGCCAGCUAAGGUCCCAAAGUCAUGGUUAAGUGGGAAACGAUGUGGGAAGGCCCAGACAGCCAGGAUGUUGGCUUAGAAGCAGCCAUCAUUUAAAGAAAGCGUAAUAGCUCACUGGUCGAGUCGGCCUGCGCGGAAGAUGUAACGGGGCUAAACCAUGCACCGAAGCUGCGGCAGCGAACGUAUCACCCAAGACAACUUUACGGAGUUGACGAUUGACGGAGCGAAGCGACGUCAAAGCGUUCAUUAAAGUCGAGUUGGCUUAGGGAUACGUUCGUUGGGUAGGGGAGCGUUCUGUAAGCCUGUGAAGGUGUGUCGUGAGGCAUGCUGGAGGUAUCAGAAGUGCGAAUGCUGACAUAAGUAACGAUAAAGCGGGUGAAAAGCCCGCUCGCCGGAAGACCAAGGGUUCCUGUCCAACGUUAAUCGGGGCAGGGUGAGUCGACCCCUAAGGCGAGGCCGAAAGGCGUAGUCGAUGGGAAACGGGUUAAUAUUCCCGUACUUGGUGUUACUGCGAAGGGGGGACGGAGAAGGCUAUGUUGGCCGGGCGACGGUUGUCCCGGUUUAAGCGUGUAGGUGUGUGUUCCAGGUAAAUCCGGUUCACUUUAACACUGAGGCGUGACGACGAGGCACUACGGUGCUGAAGCAACAAAUGCCCUGCUUCCAGGAAAAGCCUCUAAGCAUCAGGUAACACGAAAUCGUACCCCAAACCGACACAGGUGGUCAGGUAGAGAAUACCAAGGCGCUUGAGAGAACUCGGGUGAAGGAACUAGGCAAAAUGGUGCCGUAACUUCGGGAGAAGGCACGCUGACACGUAGGUGAAGUGAUUUACUCACGGAGCUGAAGUCAGUCGAAGAUACCAGCUGGCUGCAACUGUUUAUUAAAAACACAGCACUGUGCAAACACGAAAGUGGACGUAUACGGUGUGACGCCUGCCCGGUGCCGGAAGGUUAAUUGAUGGGGUCAGCGCAAGCGAAGCUCCUGAUCGAAGCCCCGGUAAACGGCGGCCGUAACUAUAACGGUCCUAAGGUAGCGAAAUUCCUUGUCGGGUAAGUUCCGACCUGCACGAAUGGCGUAAUGAUGGCCAGGCUGUCUCCACCCGAGACUCAGUGAAAUUGAACUCGCUGUGAAGAUGCAGUGUACCCGCGGCAAGACGGAAAGACCCCGUGAACCUUUACUAUAGCUUGACACUGAACAUUGAGCCUUGAUGUGUAGGAUAGGUGGGAGGCUUUGAAGUGUGGACGCCAGUCUGCAUGGAGCCGACCUUGAAAUACCACCCUUUAAUGUUUGAUGUUCUAACGUGGACCCGUAAUCCGGGUUGCGGACAGUGUCUGGUGGGUAGUUUGACUGGGGCGGUCUCCUCCUAAAGAGUAACGGAGGAGCACGAAGGUUGGCUAAUCCUGGUCGGACAUCAGGAGGUUAGUGCAAUGGCAUAAGCCAGCUUGACUGCGAGCGUGACGGCGCGAGCAGGUGCGAAAGCAGGUCAUAGUGAUCCGGUGGUUCUGAAUGGAAGGGCCAUCGCUCAACGGAUAAAAGGUACUCCGGGGAUAACAGGCUGAUACCGCCCAAGAGUUCAUAUCGACGGCGGUGUUUGGCACCUCGAUGUCGGCUCAUCACAUCCUGGGGCUGAAGUAGGUCCCAAGGGUAUGGCUGUUCGCCAUUUAAAGUGGUACGCGAGCUGGGUUUAGAACGUCGUGAGACAGUUCGGUCCCUAUCUGCCGUGGGCGCUGGAGAACUGAGGGGGGCUGCUCCUAGUACGAGAGGACCGGAGUGGACGCAUCACUGGUGUUCGGGUUGUCAUGCCAAUGGCACUGCCCGGUAGCUAAAUGCGGAAGAGAUAAGUGCUGAAAGCAUCUAAGCACGAAACUUGCCCCGA
rnacentral:rRNA from 1 species